GUAAAAUAUUUUUAAUUAAUCGGCAUAAACAACAGUUAGACAAAUUGUUAUAUUCGAUUUAUUUACACACAUGUA
rnacentral:sRNA from 1 species